rnacentral:rRNA from 1 species
ACUGGCGCAUGCCAGAGUGUGAAAAACUCCGGUGGUACAGGAUGGACCCGCGUUGGAUUAGCCAGUUGGCGGGGUAACGGCCCACCAAAGCGACGAUCCAUAGCCGGCCUGAGAGGGUGAACGGCCACAUUGGGACUGAGACACGGCCCAGACUCCUACGGGAGGCAGCAGUGGGGAAUAUUGCACAAUGGGGGAAACCCUGAUGCAGCGACGCCGCGUGAAGGAAGAAGUAUCUCGGUAUGUAAACUUCUAUCAGCAGGGAAGAUGAUGACGGUACCUGACUAAGAAGCCCCGGCUAACUACGUGCCAGCAGCCGCGGUAAUACGUAGGGGGCAAGCGUUAUCCGGAUUUACUGGGUGUAAAGGGAGCGCAGACGGUUAUGCAAGUCUGAUGUGAAAGGCUGGGGCUCAACCCUGGGACUGCAUUGGAAACUGUAUGGCUUGAGUGCCGGAAGGGUAAGCGGAAUUCCUAGUGUAGCGGUGAAAUGCGUAGAUAUUAGGAGGAACACCAGUGGCGAAGGCGGCUUACUGGACGGUAACUGACGUUGAGGCUCGAAAGCGUGGGGAGCAAACAGGAUUAG